GCCGGGGUGGAGAAAUUGGCAGACUCCUUAGCUUGAGGUGCUAAGGCCAGAAAUGGCGUGCAGGUUCAAGUCCUGUCCCCGGCA
rnacentral:tRNA from 2 species